ACGUGUUCUCCGACGGCGAGUGGCGCCCCGCUCCGGCACCGUAAGGGCCGUGCAGCGGGCGCCGCCAGCCGCUCGACCUUAUAAACCCACCGUGCACUCUUGUCGGCAGAGGGGCCCUCGCGGGCUCCGAGCCGGAUCCACAAACACGAUUGAAACAGAAUGUAUGCAGACUCGGUUCUGCCCAAACUUUGA
rnacentral:misc_RNA from 1 species